CACGCAGGUGGUGAGAUAAGUUGGAUGUGAAAUUCCCGUGCUUAACAUGGGGACUGCAUCCAAAACUGUUGAACUGGAGUACUGUAGAGGGAGGUAGAAUUCCACGUGUAGCGGUGAAAUGCGUAGAGAUGUGGAAGAAUACCAGAGGCGAAGGCGGCCUCCUGGACAGAUACUGACACUGAGGUGCGAAAGCGUGGGUAGCAAACA
rnacentral:rRNA from 1 species